CCAAUAGCGUAUAUUAAAGUUGUUGCAGUUAAAAAGCUCGUAGUUGAAUUUCGGGGUCAGUAAGUUGGUCGUGCCACUGGUAUGUACUGGCUUCACUGAUUCCUCCUUCUUGAAGAACUGUAAUGCUAUUAAUUUAGUGUUGCAGGGAAACAGGACUGUUACUUUGAAAAAAUUAGAGUGUUUAAAGCAGGCUAACGCUUGAAUACAUUAGCAUGGAAUAAUGAAAUAGGACGUUUGAUCCUAUUUUGUUGGUUUCUAGGAUUGACGUAAUGAUUAAUAGGGAUAGUUGGGGGCAUUAGUAUUCAAUUGUCAGAGGUGAAAUUCUUGGAUUUAUUGAAGACUAACUACUGCGAAAGCAUUUGCCAAGGAUGUUUUCAUUAAUCAAGAACGAAAGUUAGGGGAUCGAAGACAAUCAGAUACCGUCGUAGUCUUAACCAUAAACUAUGCCGACUAGGGAUCGGAUGAUGUUAAUUUUUUAAUGACUCAUUCGGCGCCUUACG
rnacentral:rRNA from 1 species